GACGAACGCUGGCGGCGUGCUUAACACAUGCAAGUCGAACGGAAAGGCCCUGCCUUUGUGGGGUGCUCGAGUGGCGAACGGGUGAGUAACACGUGAGUAACCUGCCCUUGACUUUGGGAUAACUUUAGGAAACUGGGGCUAAUACCGGAUAGGAGCUCCUGCUGCAUGGUGGGGGUUGGAAAGUUUCGGUGGUUGGGGAUGGACUCGCGGCUUAUCAGCUUGUUGGUGGGGUAGUGGCUUACCAAGGCUUUGACGGGUAGCCGGCCUGGGAGGGUGACCGGGCACAGUGGGACUGGGUAACGGCCAAGACUCCUACGGGAGGCAUCAGUGGAAAGUAGUGCAAGAUGGGCGGAAGGCUGAUACAGCGACGCCGCGUGCGGGAUGACGGCCGUCAGGUUGUAAACCGCUUUCGCCUGUGACGAAGAGUGAGUGACGGUAAUGGAUAAAGAAGCACCGGCUAACUACGUG
rnacentral:rRNA from 1 species